rnacentral:rRNA from 1 species
UACGUAGGGUGCGAGCGUUGUCCGGAAUUAUUGGGCGUAAAGAGCUCGUAGGCGGUUUGUCGCGUCGGCCGUGAAAACUUGGGGCUUAACCCUGAGCGUGCGGUCGAUACGGGCAUCACUUGAGUUCGGCAGGGGAGACUGGAAUUCCUGGUGUAGCGGUGAAAUGCGCAGAUAUCAGGGGGAACACCGGUGGCGAAGGCGGGUCUCUGGGCCGAUACUGACGCUGAGGAGCGAUAGCGUGGGGAGCGAACAGG